AGAGUUUGCUCCUGGCUCAGGAUGAACGCUGGCGGCGUGCUUAACAUAUGCAAGUCGAACGGGAAUGCCGCGCUGAUGCGAUUUCGGUCAAAUCAUGUGGCAUUCGAGUGGCGGACGGGUGAGUAACGCGUGGGUAACCUGCCUUACACAGGGGGAUAACACCUGGAAACAGGUGCUAAUACCGCAUAAGCGCACAGGGCCGCAUGGCCCGGUGUGAAAAACUCCGGUGGUGUAAGAUGGACCCGCGUCUGAUUAGCUUGUUGGCGGGGUAGGGGCCCACCAAGGCGACGAUCAGUAGCCGGCCUGAGAGGGUGGACGGCCACAUUGGGACUGAGACACGGCCCAAACUCCUACGGGAGGCAGCAGUGGGGGAUAUUGGACAAUGGGGGAAACCCUGAUCCAGCGACGCCGCGUGAGUGAAGAAGUAUUUCGGUAUGUAAAGCUCUGUCAGCAGGGAAGAAAGAAAUGACGGUACCUGACCAAGAAGCCCCGGCUAACUACGUGCCAGCAGCCGCGGUAAUACGUAGGGGGCAAGCGUUAUCCGGAUUUACUGGGUGUAAAGGGAGCGUAGACGGCUGUGCAAGUCUGAAGUGAAAUGCCGGGGCCCAACCCCGGAACUGCUUUGGAAACUGUACAGCUAGAGUGCAGGAGGGGUGAGCGGAAUUCCUAGUGUAGCGGUGAAAUGCGUAGAUAUUAGGAGGAACACCGGUGGCAAAGGCGGCUCACUGGACUGUAACUGACGUUGAGGCUCGAAAGCGUGGGGAGCAAACAGGAUUAGAUACCCUGGUAGUCCACGCCGUAAACGAUGAUUACAAGGUGUCGGGGGGCCAAGGCC
rnacentral:rRNA from 1 species